rnacentral:rRNA from 1 species
UACAGAGGGUGCGAGCGUUGUUCGGAAUUAUUGGGCGUAAAGAGCUCGUAGGUGGUUCGGUAAGUCGGAUGUGAAAUCUCCAGGCUCAACCUGGAGGGGUCAUUCGAUACUGCCGUGACUAGAGUUCGGUAGGGGAGUGUGGAAUUCCUGGUGGAGCGGUGAAAUGCGCAGAUAUCAGGAGGAACACCCGUAGCGAAGGCGGCACUCUGGGCCGAUACUGACACUGAGGAGCGAAAGCGUGGGGAGCGAACAGG